CUGCAUCCACUGAUAGACCUUGAACAGUUUGCUGUUGUUCUUUUGGUUUGCACAAGGAUGCAAAAGGAAAAUUAUCCCAGCGCUUUCUGUCUGUCUCUGUGGCAGCCAGAUUGAAUAGGGGAGAACAUCU